rnacentral:sRNA from 1 species
GCAGACAGGAUGCUCACACAGGGCGUGAGGCCUGGCUUCCCAGUGAGGGCAGCAGCCCAGUUACUGGGGACGUCGGCCCCGGGCAGGUCCUGCUGGCUGGCUCCUCAGGCUACCUGGUGGGCUUUAAAUUCCUGGAAAGUCACGGCUCUGACAGCGGCUCCGCUAACUCAUUCCACUGUCUCGUUUCACGAAAUGAAUUUAAAACUCCACUCCCUGACCUCACACGAGCCCCCGUGAGUCUCUCACGCCCUCUGCUGUGUUCUCGCCUGGCUAAAGCGAGUGGCUUUUGAGCUGGAGUCUGAACCCCUGAUGGGAAACUGCGGGCUGCCCGCGGUGCCACCAUGCUGGAGGUACAGCCCCGUGGUGGAGGCCGGCUCGGACAUGGUCUUCCGGUGGACCAUCAACGACAAGCAGUCCCUGACCUUCCAGAACGUGGUCUUCAAUGUCAUUUAUCAGAGCGCGGCGGUCUUCAAGCUCUCACUGACGGCCUCCAACCACGUGAGCAACGUCACCGUGAACUACAACGUCACCGUGGAGCGGAUGAACAGGAUGCAGGGCCUGCGGGUCUCCACAGUGCCGGCCGUGCUGUCCCCCAAUGCCACGCUGGCACUGACGGCGGGCGUGCUGGUGGACUCGGCCGUGGAGGUGGCCUUCCUGUGGACCUUUGGGGAUGGGGAGCAGGCUCUCCACCAGUUCCAGCCUCCGUACAACGAGUCCUUCCCGGUUCCAGACCCUCGGUGGCCCAGGUGCUGGUGGAGCACAAUGUCACGCACACCUACGCUGCCCCAGGUGCUGAUCCGGAGUGGCCGGGUGCCCAUUGUGUCCUUGGAGUGUGUGUCCUGCAAGGCACAGGCCGUGUACGAAGUGAGCCGCAGCUCCUACGUGUACCUGGAGGGCCGCUGCCUCAAUUGCAGCAGUGGCUCCAAGCGAGGGCGGUGGGCUGCACGUACGUUCAGCAACAAGACGCUGGUGCUGGAUGAGACCACCACGUCCACGGGCAGCGCAGGCAUGCGACUGGUGCUGCGGCGGGGCGUGCUGCGGGACGGCGAGGGAUACACCUUCACGCUCACGGUGCUGGGCCGCUCUGGCGAGGAGGAGGGCUGCGCCUCCAUCCGCCUGUCCCCCAACCGCCCGCCGCUGGGGGGCUCUUGCCGCCUCUUCCCACUGGGCGCUGUGCACGCCCUCACUACCAAGGUGCACUUCGAAUGCACGGGUUGGCAUGACGCGGAGGAUGCUGGCGCCCCGCUGGUGUACGCCCUGCUGCUGCGGCGCUGUCGCCAGGGCCACUGCGAGGAGUUCUGUGUCUACAAGGGCAGCCUCUCCGGCUACGGAGCUGUGCUGCCCCCGGGUUUCAGGCCACACUUCGAGGUGGGCCUGGCCGUGGUGGUGCAGGACCAGCUGGGAGCCGCUGUGGUCGCCCUCAACAGGUGAGCCAGGCCGUGGGAGGGCGCCCCCGAGACUGCCACCUGCUCACCACCCCCCUCUGCUCGUAGGUCUCUGGCCAUCACCCUCCCAGAGCCUAACGGCAGUGCAACGGGGCUCACAGUCUGGCUGCACGGGCUCACCGCUAGUGUGCUCCCGGGGCUGCUGCGGCAGGCCGAUCCCCAGCACGUCAUCGAGUACUCGCUGGCCCUGGUCACCGUGCUGAACGAGUACGAGCAGGCCCUGGACGUGGCGGCAGAGCCCAAGCACGAGCGGCAGCGCCGAGCCCAGAUACGCAAGAACAUCACGGAGACUCUGGUGUCCCUGCGGGUCCACACUGUGGAUGACAUCCAGCAGAUCGCUGCUGCGCUGGCCCAGUGCAUGGGGCCCAGCAGGGAGCUCGUAUGCCGCUCAUGCCUGAAGCAGACGCUGCACAAGCUGGAGGCCAUGAUGCGCAUCCUGCAGGCAGAGACCACCGCGGGCACCGUGACGCCCACCGCCAUCGGAGACAGCAUCCUCAACAUCACAGGAGACCUCAUCCACCUGGCCAGCUCGGACGUGCGGGCACCACAGCCCUCAGAGCUGGGAGCCGAGUCACCAUCGCGGAUGGUGGCGUCCCAGGCCUACAACCUGACCUCUGCCCUCAUGCGCAUCCUCAUGCGCUCCCGCGUGCUCAACGAGGAGCCCCUGAUGCUGGCGGGCGAGGAGAUCGUGGCCCAGGGCAAGCGCUCGGACCCGCGGAGCCUGCUGUGCUAUGGCGGCGCCCCAGGGCCUGGCUGCCACUUCUCCAUCCCCGAGGCUUUCAGCGGGGCCCUGGCCAACCUCAGUGACGUGGUGCAGCUCAUCUUUCUGGUGGACUCCAAUCCCUUUCCCUUUGGCUAUAUCAGCAACUACACCGUCUCCACCAAGGUGGCCUCGAUGGCAUUCCAGACACAGGCCGGCGCCCAGAUCCCCAUCGAGCGGCUGGCCUCAGAGCGCGCCAUCACCGUGAAGGUGCCCAACAACUCGGACUUGGCUGCCCGGGGCCACCGCAGCUCCGCCAACUCCGUUGUGGUCCAGCCCCAGGCCUCCGUCGGUGCUGUGGUCACCCUGGACAGCAGCAACCCUGCGGCCGGGCUGCAUCUGCAGCUCAACUAUACGCUGCUGGACGGUGCGUGCAGCGGGUGGGGCACACGCGGCCCCCUGGCCUUGUUCUUGGGGGGAAGGCGUUUCUCGUAGGGCUUUCAUGGGUGUCUCUGGUGAAAUUUGCUUUCUGUUUCAUGGGCUGCUGGGGGCCUGGCCGGAGAGGAGCUGGGGGCCACGGAGAAGCAGGCCGCUACCUGUCUGAGGAACCCGAGCCCUACCUGGCAGUCUACCUGCACUCGGAGCCCCGGCCCAAUGAGCACAACUGCUCGGCUAGCAGGAGGAUCCGCCCAGAGUCACUCCAGGGUGCCGACCACCGGCCCUACACCUUCUUCAUUUCCCCGGGGAGCAGAGACCCAGCGGGGAGUUACCAUCUGAACCUCUCCAGCCACUUCCGCUGGUCAGUGCUGGAGGUGUCCGUGGGCCUGUACACGUCCCUGUGUCAGUACUUCAGCGAGGAGGACAUGGUGUGGAGGACAGAGGGGCUGCUGCCCCUGGAGGAGACCUCGCCCCGCCAGGCCGUCUGCCUCACCCGCCACCUCACCGCCUUCGGCGCCAGCCUCUUCGUGCCCCCAAGCCAUGUCCGCUUUGUCUUUCCGGAGCCGACAGCGGAUGUAAACUACAUCGUCAUGCUGACAUGUGCUGUGUGCCUGGUGACCUACAUGGUCAUGGCCGCCAUCCUGCACAAGCUGGACCAGUUGGAUGCCAGCCGAGGCCGCGCCAUCCCCUUCUGUGGGCAGCGGGGCCGCUUCAAGUACGAGAUCCUCGUCAAGACAGGCUGGGGCCGGGGCUCAGGUACCACGGCCCACGUGGGCAUCAUGCUGUAUGGGGUGGACAGCCGGAGUGGCCACCGGCACCUGGACGGCGACAGAGCCUUCCACCGCAACAGCCUGGACAUCUUCCGGAUCGCCACCCCGCAUAGCCUGGGUAGCGUGUGGAAGAUCCGAGUGUGGCACGACAACAAAGGGCUCAGCCCUGCCUGGUUCCUGCAGCACAUCAUCGUCAGGGACCUGCAGACGGCACGCAGCGCCUUCUUCCUGGUCAAUGACUGGCUUUCGGUGGAGACGGAGGCCAACGGGGGCCUGGUGGAGAAGGAGGUGCUGGCCGCGAGCGACGCAGCCCUGUUGCGCUUCCGGCGCCUGCUGGUGGCUGAGCUGCAGCGCGGCUUCUUUGACAAGCACAUCUGGCUCUCCAUAUGGGACCGGCCGCCUCGUAGCCGUUUCACUCGCAUCCAGAGGGCCACCUGCUGCGUUCUCCUCAUCUGCCUCUUCCUGGGCGCCAACGCCGUGUGGUACGGGGCUGUUGGCGACUCUGCCUACAGCACGGGGCGUGUGUCCAGGCUGAGCCCGCUGAGUGUCGACACAGUCGCUGUUGGCCUGGUGUCCAGCGUGGUUGUCUAUCCCGUCUACCUGGCCAUCCUCUUUCUCUUCCGGAUGUCCCGGAGCAAGGUGGCUGGGAGCCCGAGCCCCACACCUGCCGGGCAGCAGGUGCUGGACAUCGACAGCUGCCUGGACUCGUCCGUGCUGGACAGCUCCUUCCUCACGUUCUCAGGCCUCCACGCUGAGGUGAGGGCUCUACUGGGGGUCCUGGGCUGGGCUGGGGGUCCUGCCGCCUUGGCGCAGCUUGGACUCAAGACACUGUGCACCUCUUAGCAGGCCUUUGCUGGACAGAUGAAGAGUGACUUGUUUCUGGAUGAUUC